rnacentral:rRNA from 1 species
UGCAGUCGAGCGAGCCUUCGGGUUUAGCGGCGGACGGGUGAGUAACGCGUGGGAACAUACCUUUCACUACGGAAUAGCCCCGGGAAACUGGGAGUAAUACCGUAUACGCCCUUUUGGGGAAAGAUUUAUCGGUGAGAGAUUGGCCCGCGUUGGAUUAGGUAGUUGGUGGGGUAAUGGCCUACCAAGCCGACGAUCCAUAGCUGGUUUGAGAGGAUGAUCAGCCACACUGGGACUGAGACACGGCCCAGACUCCUACGGGAGGCAGCAGUGGGGAAUCUUAGACAAUGGGGGCAACCCUGAUCUAGCCAUGCCGCGUGUGUGAUGAAGGCCUUAGGGUCGUAAAGCACUUUCGCCUGUGAAGAUAAUGACUGUAGCAGGUAAAGAAACCCCGGCUAACUCCGUGCCAGCAGCCGCGGUAAUACG